rnacentral:siRNA from 1 species
CAACUCAACUCAACCCAUGAACCC